AAACCGGAAACCGUCCCCCAUCCUCCUCCGACGCCAAACAGCUGUCGACAGCUCGGAGCUCGCCGCUCUCAAACGGACCCGUCACAAAUCUACCCACAAUCCUCUCUGUCCUGUCCAACGCGCUGACAUCACCAGCCGGUCCGGACCGUGAUGAGGUUUUACAAGAUGUAGAGCUGGUCUCCUCUCAGGAUCACGUACCGGUUCCUCCACAGCUCCCUGAAGAUCCCGCGGCCGCAAAACUUCCUGAUCCAACCGACUUUCUCCGGCUGCUGGACGGCCGGCUGACCCGAGUCCUGGACCUGAAACACCAGAGCAACAGGCUCAGAGAAAGACUGGAGACCAGUGUAGUCUGAUGGAAACACCACAGCAACCACUGUAACCAUCAGAAGCCCAUUUUGCAUGCAGACGGAUGUCAGCAAACGCACACGCUGGCACGGACGGUCAGGACCGAGGAUCGAGGAUCGAGUGUGUGAACGAUCCUCGUGUGCACGGAUACACAAACACACACAACAAAUGCUGAAUGGCAAAAAAAGGAUAAGAAAAGGCUG